UACAGAGGUGGCAAGCGUUGUUCGGAAUUACUGGGCGUAAAGAGCUCGUAGGUGGUUUGUCGCGUUGUCCGUGAAAACUCACAACUCAAUUGUGGGCGUGCGGGCGAUACGGGCAGACUGGAGUACUGCAGGGGAGACUGGAAUUCCUGGUGUAGCGGUGGAAUGCGCAGAUAUCAGGAGGAACACCGGUGGCGAAGGCGGGUCUCUGGGCAGUAACUGACGCUGAGGAGCGAAAGCGUGGGGAGCAAACAGG
rnacentral:rRNA from 1 species